rnacentral:rRNA from 1 species
GCUGGCGGCGUGCCUGACACAUGCAAGUCGAACGAACUGAGGGGCCGUUGAUCGGGUUUCGGAAGGGUUCGUCCCGGAAGAGCCUGUGAGGUUCCUUGGUUAGUGGCGAACGGGUGAGUAACACGUAGGUGACCUGCCCCGAAGAGGGGGAUAACCACUGGAAACGGUGGCUAAUACCCCGUGUGAUCCUGCAUUCGGUUGCGGGAUUAAAGGCUCCGGCGCUUCGGGAGGGGCCUGCGGCCUAUCAGCUAGUUGGUAGGGUAAUGGCCUACCAAGGCUAUGACGGGUAGCUGGUCUGAGAGGACGCACAGCCACACUGGCACUGAGACACGGGCCAGACUCCUACGGGAGGCAGCAGUGAGGGAUAUUGCGCAAUGGGGGAAACCCUGACGCAGCAACGCCGCGUGGGCGAAGAAGGUCUUCGGAUCGUAAAGCCCUUUUCUCUCGGACGAGGAAGGACGGUACGGGAGGAAUAAGCGUCGGCUAACUACGUGCCAGCAGCCGCGGUAAAACGUAGGACGCAAGCGUUAUCCGGAUUUAUUGGGCGUAAAGGGCGUGUAGGCGGCGUCUUAAGUUGGGCGUGAAAUCUUCCGGCUCAACCGGAAGGGUGCGUUCAAUACUGGGACGCUUGAGGGCAGCAGAGGGAGGUGGAAUUCCCGGAGUAGCGGUGGAAUGCGUAGAUAUCGGGAGGAACACCAGUGGCGAAGGCGGCCUCCUGGGCUGUACCUGACGCUGAAGCGCGAAAGCGUGGGGAGCAAACGGGAUUAGAUACCCCGGUAGUCCACGCCGUAAACGAUGGAUACUAGGUGUCGGUGGUAUUGACCCCAUCGGUGCCGCAA